GGGGCCUUAGCUCAGCUGGCAGAGCGCCUGCUUUGCAAGCAGGAAGUCAGGGGUUCGAAUCCCCUAGGCUCCACCA
rnacentral:tRNA from 8 species